rnacentral:rRNA from 1 species
GAUGAACGCUGGCGGCGUGCUUAAGACAUGCAAGUCGAACGAAGACUCUUUGUAGCAAUACGGAGGGUCUUAGUGGCGAAUGGGUGCGUAACACGUAGGUGACCUACCCUGAAGUGGGGAAUAACAGUUCGAAAGGACUGCUAAUACCUCAUGUGGUCCUGGAGUCUAGAAGCUCCAGGUCUAAAGGCGUAAGCCGCUUCAGGCGGGGCCUGCGUCCCAUCAGUUAGUUGGUAGGGUAAUGGCCUACCAAGACUACGACGGGUAGGGGACCUGAGAGGGUGGCCCCCCACACUGGCACUGACACACGGGCCAGACUCCUACGGGAGGCAG